GUUUGAUCAUGGCUCAGGAUGAACGCUGGCGGCGUGCUUAAUACAUGCAAGUCGAACGAGGGACUUUUGUCUUCGGAUGGAAGUUUCCUAGUGGCGAACGGGUGAGUAACGCGUUGGUGACCUGCCCCGAAGUGGGGGAUAACAGUCCGAAAGGACUGCUAAUACCUCAUGAUAUCAAUUGGACUAGAUACCUUUUGAUCAAAGGCGUAAGCCGCUUUGGGAGGGGCCUGCGUCCCAUCAGCUUGUUGGUAGGGUAAUGGCCUACCAAGGCUAAGACGGGUAGGGGACCUAAGAGGGUGACCCCCCACACUGGCACUGAAACACGGGCCAGACACCUACGGGUGGCAGCAGUAGGGAAUUUUGGACAAUGGGCGAAAGCCUGAUCCAGCAACGCCGCGUGCGCGAUGAAGGCCUUCGGGUUGUAAAGCGCUUUUAGAGGAGAUGAGAAAGGACAGUAUCCUCUGAAUAAGCCUCGGCGAACUACGUGCCAGCAGCCGCGGUAAAACGUAGGAGGCUAGCGUUAUCCGGAUUUAUUGGGCGUAAAGCGUGUGCAGGCGGUUUAGUAAGUUGGAUGUGAAAGCUCCCGGCUUAACUGGGAGAGGUCGUUCAAAACUACUAGACUAGAGUAUGGGAGAGGGAGGUGGAAUUCCGGGUGUAGUGGUGAAAUGCGUAGAUAUCCGGAGGAACACCAGUGGCGAAAGCGGCCUCCUGGACCAUUACUGACGCUUAAACACGAAAGCUAGGGUAGCAAACGGGAUUAGAGACCCCGGUAAUCCUAGCCGUAAACGAUGUGAACUUGGCGUCGGUGGCUUAAACACCAUCGGUGCCGAAGCAAACGCGAUAAGUUCACCGCCUGGGGACUACGGCCGCAAGGUUAAAA
rnacentral:rRNA from 1 species